rnacentral:rRNA from 1 species
GAAACCCUGUGGGAAGCAGGAGGGACCACCCUCCAAGGCUAAAUACUACCUAGUGACCGAUAGCGUAUAGUACCGUGAGGGAAAGGUGAAAAGAACCCCGGGAGGGGAGUGAAAUAGAACCUGAAACCCUGCACUUACAAGCUGUGGAAGCACAUUUCUUGUGUGACCGCGUACUUUUUGUAGAACGGGCCAACGAGUUACGUUAAGUAGCAAGGUUAAGCACUUAAGGUGCGGAGCCGUAGCGAAAGCGAGUUUUAACUGAGCGUUCAGUUACUUGACGUAGACCCGAAACCGGGCGACCUACCCAUGAGCAGGAUGAAGCGAAAGUAAAAUUUCGUGGAGGUCCGAACCCACGAGCGUUGAAAAGCUCGGGGAUGACUUGUGGGUAGCGGUGAAAUUCCAAUCGAGCCCGGAGAUAGCUGGUUCUCCCCGAAAUAGCUUUAGGGCUAGCCUCAAGGUGAGAGAUACGGAGGUAGAGCACUGAAUGUCCUAGGGGGUAUUGCACCUACCGAAGACUAUCAAACUCCGAAUGCCGUCAUCUUAUACUUGGGAGUCAGACUGUGGGUGAUAAGAUUCAUAGUCGAAAGGGCAACAGCCCAGAUCGUCAGCUAAGGUCCCUAAAUGUAAGUUAAGUGGUAAAGGAUGUGGGAUUGCACAGACAACCAGGAUGUUGGCUUAGAAGCAGCCACUCAUUCAAAGAGUGCGUAAUAGCUCACUGGUCGAGUGAUCCUGCGCCGAAGAUUUCCGGGGCUAAAACUU